UACGGAGGAUGCGAGCGUUAUCCGGAUUUAUUGGGUUUAAAGGGUGCGUAGGCGGACUGUCAAGUCAGCAGUAAAAUUGAGAGGCUCAACCUCUUCCCGCCGUUGAAACUGGUGGUCUUGAGUGGAUGAGAAGUACGCGGAAUGCGUGGUGUAGCGGUGAAAUGCACAGAUAUCACGCAGAACUCCGAUUGCGAAGGCAGCGUACCGGCAUCCAACUGACGCUGAGGCACGAAAGCGUGGGGAUCAAACAGG
rnacentral:rRNA from 1 species